rnacentral:lncRNA from 1 species
UUUAGUGUUCUGGGCAGGGUAAUCAAACAGGCUCAACUUCAAACUCAUUUCUUUAUAGUCUCAACUGGACUCAUUAGAUUUCCGUUUCUCAAAACUCAAAUAGAAUCACAAAUUAAGUACGGACUCCAUGAGUCUGAUGUAAGAUGCAAAUUAUGAGCCCAAAUUACUGAAAAUAAUGACAAUACCUUGAACUCCCCCUUCAAAACAUUGAUUUCACAUAAAGGGAAACAAAAGAACAAAUCCCUUACCCUAGUACCCAGCAAGCCACACUAUAAAAAUAUUUCAGCAAUUCAUUCAUGAACGAAGAAAAUAUUUUUUUGAAGUAUUUAAUAUCAACUAUAUUAUUAUAUCAUCAUCAACCUAUUCAUUUAUUUUAUGUAUGGACCUAUUAUGACUAGUGAAUGUCAAAGAGCUUGUCACAUUCUAUUUCUUUAAAAAUAAAUCCAGGUCCAUUUGUGUUGUAUCUCAUAAUCUAUCCAUGGAUCACAGGUGGUUCAAGUCUAUACAAGGAAAAGGAGAGAAAGCAAAUUGAGGAAAAGAGACUAAUCUGGAAAAUGGUAAGGGCGAAUGUCAAUUUAUGGGACAACGAAGUGUUCUCAGUCAGGGAUUUAUGGUAGAAUGAUGGGUAUAAUAACAGGAUGGGCAGAUGGCAAAUUUGGUUCGAAAGGGGGAUUAUAUCAUAACUGGAGCAAGGGGAAUAUGUAGGAGGAGAAGGAGGAGAUGGAGGCUGGAAAGGCUUCUGCCUCAGAGAAGGGCCGCUACCUGCAGACUAGGGUGUUUGCCAAGUGCACCUUAUUUUAUACUGUCUAAUAGUCUAUUUAUUAAUACUUCACAUUGGUUUCUGAUUCUAAUGUUGUUUAGUUCCACCCAGUGAGUUUUAAUACAAUUUGAGGUAUUUGAGUUUGUUUUUUAAUCCCUAUCAUCCAUUCUAUUUGUACUUUCAGUCCAGAUUCAAUGCACAUUCUUCGUGUUCCAUUAUUCAAAUAUAACCAUUAGUAAUUCUUCAUAGUAAUCUAUUAUGCCGUGCUAUACUGAGAUGAUAAGCACUAGAGCACUAUUCUAUUGCCUAUUUUCUAUUGUCCACUGCUUAAGUUUGAACCUUUCAUUUUGCCCCAUGACAAACUUUGUACUCUUCCUCAUUACUAUGAGGAGUUUUACUUACAUUUUAUAUUAGGCCUACAAGUCAAG